rnacentral:rRNA from 1 species
CCUACGGGUGGCAGCAGUGGGGAAUUUUGGACAAUGGGGGCAACCCUGAUCCAGCCAUGCCGCGUGCGGGAAGAAGGCCUUCGGGUUGUAAACCGCUUUUAGCCGGGAAGAAAAGGCGGGGGCUAACACCCUCUGUUUUUGACGGUACCGGCGGAAUAAGCACCGGCUAACUACGUGCCAGCAGCCGCGGUAAUACGUAGGGUGCGAGCGUUAAUCGGAAUUAGCGGGCGCGAUUCGUGAGCAGGCGGGUGAAAGCCCCGGGCUCAACCUGGGAACGGCAUUGGAAACUGGCGGGCUGGAGUGUGGCAGAGGGGGGUGGAAUUCCGCGUGUAGCAGUGAAAUGCGUAGAGAUGCGGAGGAACACCGAUGGCGAAGGCAGCCCCCUGGGCUGACACUGACGCUCAGGCACGAAAGCGUGGGGAGCAAACAGGAUUAGAUACCCCUGUAGUC